GAUGAAGAACGCAGCGAAAUGCGAUACGUAAUGUGAAUUGCAGAAUUCAGUGAAUCAUCGAAUCUUUGAACGCAUAUUGCGCUCUCUGGUAUUCCGGAGAGCAUGCUUGUUUGAGUAUCAGUAAACACCUCAACUUCCAUAUCUUUUUUGAAAUGGGAGUUGGACUUGAGUGAUCCCAACGCUUUUCCUCACCGAAAAGUGGCGGGUUACUUGAAAUGCAGGUGCAGCUGGACUUUUCUCUGAGCUAUAAGCAUAUCUAUUUAGUCUGCCUAAAAAACAGAUUAUUACCUUUGCUGCAGCUAACAUAAAGGAGAUUAGUUCUUGUGCUGACUGAUGCAGGAUUCACAAAGACAGGCUUCGGCCGACUUUGUAAACUAGAUCUCAAAUCAAGUAAGACUACCCGCUGAACUUAAGCAUAUCAAUAAGCGGAGGA
rnacentral:misc_RNA from 1 species